rnacentral:lncRNA from 1 species
AUUACAAAUUGAUACAUAAUGUAAAAGAAAUGAACAGGGUAAAAUGCCAGAGACUAUUUUGGUGAUGGGGGAGCAGGAAUGAGGAGGGCUCAGAGCUAUUAAUCUGACUGCACUGUCCCUCAGACCACCCCGGUACCCUGAGAGUGAAAUUGAAACAAAAUUAACAAAAGAAGUAUUAGUUAAAUGUAAGAAGUCACAUGAAGAAAGCAAAUACAGAAUUGCAUUUAAUAUUUACAUAACCAUCAUGUAGGUCCAAUGAUAUUAUAUGUGGUUAGCUGUGGUUAAAACAUCUUGGGAUUUUACGUCUAAAGUUAAUUUUCAUGGGUGUAUUCUAUUCAAAGUUCUUUUCAUCCUCUCAAAAUUUACAUGCUAUGUAAGUUGUUUUUGUGUUAGUUUAGUUCUUUUUGUUCUGUAUAUUGUAAAAUUCAAGUGUGUUCACUUUUGAAAGAGUUGUAUUUUACUUAGCAGAGAAAAUAAAAUGUCCAUUUACCCCAGAAAAAGGAUAAUAUUUUCUAAUUUUGAAAACAAUUUAUGAAAAGUAUCAUUUGACUCCUUAUUUUUACAGCUGCUUAGCAUUUAUUAUUGGAGAGGCCCUUCAUACAGUAUGAUCCUUUCAUUUCUAGUCAAGGGGUGUUAUUAUUUUGGAAUAUUAUUUUGGAAUCAUUCAAAUUUAAGAGAGUGAUAAAGGGCCUCUCUUCAGGGGUUCUUACUAACCAGAUCCCUAAGUUCUUACUCCUUUAAGGAAAAGUAAAAUGUUUCUGAGAAAAAAGGAAGGAAAGGGAAAAGGUUUCAGACUAUGAGCUUCUUGAUUUGGGAAUCAGAACUAUCCAGUGUGGGGUCUUCAAGCCCUUGCGUCUUGUCUGGCGUCUCGCAGGUGCUCAGGAAGUGGCUAUUGAGUUGAAUGGUUUCCGGACUGUCAGAGGAUGACUAUCCCCUCACAGACAGGGAAACCAGGGCUCAAAGUGCGUUUGUAUUGUGCUUUGCACUUUACCAAGGCCUCUCACCCAAGUUAGCUCAUUUAAAAGUUGGUCCUCACCAUCAUUAUAUGUAAAGUAGGAAAGGCCAAUACUUGCAAGUAAAAAGAUGACCGUAAUGAUGUGCUUGACACACAGUGAAUUGGCCACUGCUAGACUCCCCCCACAUAAAGCGAGUCAGCCUCUGCUGCCAAGGGCAGCUAAAACCCAAUGAUGGAGAAAUUCUGGUCCUUAAACAAUGAUGGAAAGAAGAUCACUCUUCUAAGGACAAAAACAAUCAGAAAUGGUAUUGGCAAUCUUUGGACUAAAAAAAGUGUCCUAUAACACAUAGAAGAAAAGCUCUCACACAUUAGUGCUGGCAGUCCUAUUUUUACACAGGAAAAUUUGUGAAUAUUUAUCAAAAUUAAAGUGAUUGCUGAUUUGCUACAUCACGACCUUGAUGUAGUGAUUUACUUUUUAAAAUUAAUUCAUUUUAAUUUUUGGCUGUGCUGGGUCUCUGUUGCUGCACACGGUCUCUCUAGUUGCAGCAAGUGGGGGCCACACUUCGCUGCGGUGUGGGGCUUCUCACUGCGGUGGUUUCUCUUGCUGGGGAGCAUGGGCUCAAUAAAGGCGGUGUGCAGGCUUAGUGGCCCCGAGCCAUGCGGAAUCUUCUCGGACCUGGGAUUGAACUCCCGUCCCCUGCAUUGGCAGAUUCCUAACCACUGGACCACCAGGGAAGUCUGCAAUUUACUUUUAAGGAUGUAUUCUCGCUAUAGACAUACUGGCACAAGAGUGCAUAGAUAUAUGAGGAAAAGGAUUUAAUGAACGUGAGAAUGUUCACUGGGACAUUGUUAGUAACAAAAGACUUUUUUUAAACACUUAUAUGUAUUGUAUGUCAAUUAGAUUUCAAUAAAACUGGAGAAAAAAAGAAUCAUGGAGGACAUAACACAUGCAUAAAUUCUAAGGACAGGGAGAAUAAAAAACAGCCCCUCCCAAGAACUCACAAACUAUCAAAUGAGAACAAUAAAUAAAUCCUGUACAACAUGAUAAACACUAGCAUAAAGUCAAACACAAGGACAAUAAGGAUCAUAAAGGAAAAUCGACUAUACUUCAAUAAAAUUAAAAAAUUUUUAAAAAUGGAGCAUAAAGGAAAUUUUUAACCUGGCUCAGAGGAAAGGAGGGGGGGUGGUUCAUGGACAGAGUAGAUUGUAUUUUAUAGUACAUAUGACCUUUUAAUAAACUCUGAUGUCUCUAAUGUCUUGAAAUGAUAAAAUUAAGAGCAAUUAUAUUAUCUAGAUCAGUACAAUAUCAGAAUAUGACUUAAAUUAACCUAAGAGUUCAUCAAUAGAUUGUUGGCUACAGAAAUUAGGAGUUAUCUGGGUAGUGAUAUUUUAUAGAGACAUUUGAAAUAUAACAUUAAUCUGUGUAUCACUGUGAAAAUAACUACAAUAUAUUAAUUCAAAGAUACGUAACAGUAUAACUUCCUUUCAGUAAAAAUACCCAUCGAAGUAUCAGUGAUGGCUCCCUGGAGAAAGUGAGAUUUUUUUUUAACUUCAUUCAAAUCCCUACUACUUCAUUUUUUAAAAAUGGAAAUAGAUUACUUUAAAAAUCAAAAUGAAAGAAAAGCUAUUCAAUUCUGACUACCCGACAAGCUUUCCACGUUUUAAGCAGCAGUAAGUAGACCCCAGGAAGUGGUUGGCCAUUGCCCUACUGCACCCCAGUGCCUAGCACCCUGCUUGGCAUGGUGGUGAUGCUUGGUCAAUAAGCCAGCUCACUCUUUAGUAAAGUGAGGUGGAAGCACAGAAGAACACUGAGCUUUUUUAAUCCUAAAAUCUGAGUCAGUCAGUCAAAGGAGAAGAAUUUGAAAGAUGGACUAUAUAAAUGUCGACUCAUUCCAAAUUAACUGUGGGGCUCUUCCUGUGUUGAAUAAGGAUUCUUAAUGAGUCCCUGCCAUAUGUUUCUUUGAGCGUCUCUUGGGGCAUUUAUCUGUUGGUUUAGAGGUCAGAGAGGCAUACGGAGGAAGAGAUCUCAGACAGUGCUCAGGUGGUCCAGGCAGAGAACCCUGAGCCUCCUCGGCAAUGGUCUCAUAAUAAGGAGUUAGACUGAUGGAACUCUUCCUGGGACAUAGCUUCCAUUUUCUCCUGGGGAAUUCUGUCCUGAUGCAUCCUAACUACCAGAAAGCUCCUUAUCGAACGGAGCUAGAAUCUGUUUCUUCGUAAAACUGACCCAUGGAUCCCAGCUCUGCCCUCCAGUGUCACAUACAAUGGCUCUAAGUGGUGCAGUGGUUUACCAGAACAGCCCUGGGAAACCUGCCUUCUGACCCAGCUUCCACUCUUGGGUGCUGUGUGGACCCUGAUGCAAAGACUAGCAAUUCUCUCUAACUGUAAACUUCUUUACAAAAUGGGGAUGAUCAUAGAUAAUUUCUACCUCAUGGGGCUGUUUUAAGAAGAUAAUGAAAUAAUAUAUGCAAAUUGCCAUCACAAACAUAUGGCACAAUAAGUUCAAUAAGUAAUACUCAAUUUUAUUUUUAGAUAUUAUUUAUUUUUUGGCUGUGUCCUGUGUGCCAUGUGGGAUCUUAGUUCCCUGACCAGGGAUCAAACCUGUGCCCUCUGCAGUGGGAGCUCAGAGUCUUAACCACUGGACUGCCAGGGAAGUCCCUGAUAUUACAAUUUUCAUAGGCCUUUUCCAUUAGGUGUUCAAUUAGGAGUCAGUGAGGAAAGUGCCACCAAACAGCAAAGUCAAUGUAUGAGGCCUCCGCCAGUGAAAUGUGCCCUGAGAACCUUGAUGCCAAGUGAUUCGAGCGUCUCCUGUGUUUUCCUCACUGGAAACUAAUUAGAAAAACACUCCCAGGAAGGGGAGGGACAUUUUGUACCAUUAAUUCGGCAACAACAAAUACUGUGUACUUUCAUGAUUAUAGAUACUAACGUAUAAAAGUAACUUGGGGUGUUUGAGAACCUCACUCAUCUCUAGGGGAUGUAAGGAAAGAGCUCCCUCGGGGCCUUCUCUCAAAACGUGUCUCCCUGCAGCUUCCCAAUAUUCAAAGAGCUGUCAGGGGAAACUCAGGUCUUCUGCAGCCCUUCUGAAACUUUUCUCAGGGCUAAUGACUACCUAUCACCCUGGAUUUGACUUAUGUUAUCAUUCAAGACAGAAUUAUAAACCCUACAUACAUUCAGGGAUGUGUGAGUAUAAUGUACACAUGUAUUUAGAGCAUAGGUCUAUAUAACAUACCACAUGAAGGGUAGCAGACUUGGAGACUCAGGAUCUAGUUCUAAGUUUGAUUUACUAUGUGAACUCUUAAGAUCUCAGUUUACUCAUUUACAAAAUGGUUAUAAUCGAUAAUUCUGCCAGUGUAUAUCCUAAGGAGUUUUAGGUUUGCUGUUUUAAUUGAGCUCCAAGCCUCUAUCUUUUAAGUAAGACAGUAAUAUUUAAAAAAAAAAAAUCCAUUACAAGUAUUGAGAUUCUACAUAAGAACUCAUUUGCAAAAUGAGUCUUUUUCACCAAAAGAUGUUUAAUAAUUCUUGCUGACUUUCCUCCUAAGUAUAUUACCUAACAAUAUUAACAAUGUUGGGUAAGGAUAAGCCCCUUUUUAUUAUUCAGUUGGUACUCAAUGCCCAGAGCAUUUAAAAUGACUUCCUCCCAACUCCAUUCCUUCCCCCAUCCUCAUUUCCCAGCUCCAGCUUUAAAUCAUUAAACGGAGAGAAAAUCUUUAGCACUGCAAGUCAAUGGCUCAUUCCUUCCAGAAACUCUCCUUACAAUAAAAUGAAAAUGAGAUCAAAAGCAUAAUCAGUCUGGAGGCCGAUGGAUGUCUCUUUCGACACAGAUUCUGGAUGCCCCUCUAUUCUCUGUUCAUUGGCCCCUCUCAAACCCCCUUUCCAGCAAGCAUAACCCAAGCUGGGCAAAUCCCUGAUGGGAGCCAGUCACUUUACUUUAGAAAAAUGUGAGCUGUUGAAAAGAAGCCAUUUGUAACAGCAUCACAAAGCCCUGCCUCUGCCAGUUGAGUGUGUUGGGGAAGGGCUUAUAAAGAAGCGUGGACCGGUUGGGAGCCACGUUUAAAUGCAGACGUGUCCCCUGAGUCUCUGUGGCUCCUGGGGUGCACAGCGGUGAAGUUCAGCUGUAUCAACAGAGCCCCACGGCCCUGUGUGUCGGGCGAAGGGGCCUGGGUGUGGAACUGGAAGACAAUGGUGUGAGCCUCAGCUCCAGGAGAGGGGCUUCGAUUCUCUGAACGCUAUUUUCCUAAUUAUAAAAUACCCACUGGAGCUGCCUCACAGGCACAUUGUAUGCUUUACAUAAGACAGGGUCUGAAAAGCAUUUUGUAAAUUAGAAAGCAUCCUCAAGAUAUAAGCUGUAUCCAGUGGCUUGUGAGAUAGUUGUCUAAAUGUGAUCCAUAAGAACUCCCCAAAGCUUGCUUAAAUCACCUUCCUAUGAUAUGCGUAUAAAAGAUUAGUGAAUUAUCAAAUAAAUGAAGUGUUUCACUAUGUUCACAUAAUUUUUCAAAGUCUUAAUUAUAAAAACCACUGUCUG